UAUCGGUGGGGGCUGCAAUCAGUAUAGCCUACAGAUGGAGAAAGAAGAAGAAAAAGAUUGUUUUUCAUUUUGAGCCAUUACUAUUUAAAAAACACACAUGACCCGCUUAAAAAAUCCACGUGACUCUCCCUUUUAGAUAAUCUCAACCUUAUUUUCUUUCAGACCCCUAAUGCCCAAAGCCCAAAGACCAAAUCCCCAUUUCCUCCUAUCCCAAUUCCAUUUCUCCUUCCAUCCCAACCGACCAACCCUCCACCACCACCUAAUUUCUUAAUUUAUGUUCUUUAUUUUUGCAAAUGUCCUAAUUUUUAAAUUUGACUAAGGUUUUUAAUCUUAGCCCAAAUUAACAAUUGAUGUGUAUUGGAUGAAAAUUUUGAAUUUCUAACAAAUUAUAGUUAUUGCUAUGAUUUUGACCACCGCAAUUUGCAAUUGAGAAUUGGGGAGGCAUCUAUAUACAAGUUACAAGUAAAUUUACAGUCAUCUUUAUAGUAUCAUCCUCGUGCUCAUACAGUUAAUUUGGAAUAUCUUACAUAUUGUUGUUUCUUUUGGACCUUGCUUCAUAAGAUUCAAAGACCUAUAGGGACUAAGCUGAGAUUUUAUAUCAAAUUAUAUCUUUUUUGCAAUUAUGUCAUAAAUAGUGUGUAAUUUUGUAGUAGUUCUAGAAAUAUAAUGUGUUAUUUUAGUUUAAUUUCAUAAAUAGUAUGAGUUAUUUUGCUAUAUUUCUAGAAAUAGUAUUUAUUUUGUUCCAUUCCAAAGAUAGUGUGGUUAUUUUGGUUCAAUUUUAGAAUAGUAUUAGUUAUUUUGCUCUAGUUCUAGAAAUAGUGUGUGUAAUUUUCAAUCAUUUUUUAAAAUAGUGUUAGCCAUCAUUUUCGGCACAAUGGGUGCUUUUACAGUACCAAACAAUGUGACGACUCGUCCUUAAUUUUUACAAAUUUAAAAGCGUGAUUUUACAAAAAUGCCCUUAGAGGCGAGGGUAUUGACUUUCGUUGAUCAACAUUUAGUGAGAUGUAUGAAAUGUUCCUUUAGCGUAUUCCUGAAGUGCUCGACAAUACGGG
rnacentral:lncRNA from 1 species